rnacentral:rRNA from 1 species
GACGAACGCUGGCGGCGUGCUUAACACAUGCAAGUCGAACGGAAAGGCCCUGCUUUUGUGGGGUGCUCGAGUGGCGAACGGGUGAGUAACACGUGAGUAACCUGCCCUUGACUUUGGGAUAACUUCAGGAAACUGGGGCUAAUACCGGAUAGGAGCUCCUGCUGCAUGGUGGGGGGUGGAAAGUUUCGGCGGUUGGGGAUGGACUCGCGGCUUAUCAGCUUGUUGGUGGGGUAGUGGCUUACCAAGGCUUUGACGGGUAGCCGGCCUGAGAGGGUGACCGGCCACAUUGGGACUGAGAUACGGCACAGACUCCUACGGGAGGCAGCAGUGGGGAAUAUUGCACAAGGGGCGGAAGCCUGAUGCAGCAACGCCGCGUGCGGGAUGACGGCCUUCGGGUUGUAAACCGCUUUCGCCUGUGACGAAGCGUGAGUGACGGUAAUGGGUAAAGAAGCACCGGCUAACUACGUG